rnacentral:snoRNA from 13 species
GGAUCGAUGAUGAUGCCCCAAAAAACAUUCCUUGGAAAAGCUGAACAAAAUGAGUGAGAGCUCUAAUCCGUCACUCUCGUCGUGACUGAGGUCC